AACCCAGCUCCUAAAUGGCCAGGUGAGUGGGAGCCCCAUGUGGGGGAAGGCCCCAGGAGAGCCAAAGGCUAUUUGCCUAGGGAUAUGUGGCCACCACAUGUCUUGACCCUACAUCUUCUUGGAAUUUCUAUCAGCUGAACACCACUGGAACCUGCAGUGAUAGCUGUGUUGGUUCCUUUCUGUCAUUCUCUUUCUCUUUCUUCUCCCUUUUUCCUGCUCUCAGAUUUUUGAGUAAUUUAAAAUCUCAACAGCCUUAAUGAUCUAAAUCUAACUCAAUUAACACAUUUUGUUAGAUUGAUAGGGCUAAGUUAAUGCUUUAUAGAAUAUUCUCUGUUAUGUUUAAUUUUUUUACCUUUCAAGUUCUCUGAUUUUUGAAAGUUGACAGUGAAGGGUUUUUUGUUGUUCCAAUCUCUUGAGAACAUCUCGUCAGUAUUUUUCCUGCUUUUCUGUCUCAAGAGUACAGGAACAAGUUUAAGUCGUUUUACAGUAUCCCACAGAGCAACGUUUUUGGGGCCUUACAUUUUAAUUGGCGCAGCAGGCAGGGUACUCUUGAGGUGACUUGGGCCUUUUAUACAGCUGUAAGUGCUUGUGCCAUAAUAAAGGAGAAAUAAAUGUUCAGUCUAAGCUGCUAUUUUCUGGCAGGAAAGUAAUGGACUUGCACCCAGAAACUGAUCUGAACUGCUCUCCACUGACACACUUGCUAAAAGCUUAUAUGGAAAACUUGUCCAGCCCUAAAGAGAGAUGGGGACGGAGAGAAACUAGCACCAUCCACAGUUUCUUCUGGAGAAAACAUGAACUUUGUUAGAAGAAAAUUAAAAACUGCCAGUAAAGGACCAUGCCUGGUAUCCAUAUGCAUGGAGGUUUGACUCAGAGCUCUAUGGUGCCCAUCAGCUGGAAAAGGAGCUGCAUCAGCUGCAAAUUGCUGAGCCUGAAACAAUAGCCAGCCUCAGGCCAGAGUAGGAAUUGAAUGCCAGGAUGAAGCCAGCCCCCAAACCAUGAGAAACCAGUGAAACACGCUCCUCCAAAGCCAAAGAGCUUUAGAGUUGCAAUUUAACACUGCUGGGGAAGGCCUGGAAGCAGUGUUUUCCAGACUCCAGGAACAGCCAGGCCUCCCUGACUGCAAGGUCAGCCCCACAGCCCUUGGGAGGGCUUUAGUGCCUCAAAGUCCAACCCCGCCCCUCACCCUAAACUCUGCCAGCCCCUAUAAAAUACAGAGGCAGGAUGCCCCGAAGAUGAUGUCACCUUCCUCUGCUCCCUGGAGGAGAGGUUCGGCUCUGCAAAGCCAAUCUUCUUCCCUCCUCAUCCCAAGCCCUGCUCACUGAUAAAGAAGGAAUUUGCUUAUCAGGAUGUAGUGUCUGGCAGUAAUACCUCAUUCUGCAACAGAAGUGGUUGAACUACACAGGAAAAUAAGCAAUGAUCGCAAAGAAAGGGAAAUGGAGAAUGUUUUGCGAAUUGGAUUUGGGGGAAUGAAAUAGAACUUUUGGAGAAGGAAGCACAUGGUGAAAAUCCCUGGUCUUUUGCCUGGGGAACAACCUGUGAUGUGACAAGUUUGGACCCCUUGCAGGGGAGAGAACCCCAAGCAACGCAUGAGAAACAGCUGAUGCCUGUUGACCUUCUUCUGUGUUAUUAGCAGUGUCCCUGGUAUGGCAGCAUGGCUGUUUGUUCCUGAAUUAGUCAACCAUCCUAGCAGGACCGUGUACCUAAUGACUACAAUAGCAAGUAUGGCUUUGAGUGCCAGAGGGGUAAGAGACCAAGAAAGAAAAGAGAGCCAUGUCUGUAGGAGUGUGCACCCUAAUGGCAGAGUGGCAAAACUAGCCUUUGUCCCCCAGAAAAGGAAAGAAGGCCAGAAGUUUCUCUCAAGGAUUAGGUGAAAAGCCACCUCAUGGGACCUCAGGGACUUCACCAAAUACUUGAGGACAUCUAAUUGGAUAGAAGCCAAAAAGUCCCGCUUGAUCCAUCAGGGAGAAAAAGAAGAAAAGAAAAGAGCUAAGUGCUUUUGUGAGGUGUUUUUACCAGGAGCAGACCUCUGCAUCUGGCUCGAGUUUUUCUCUUUGUUAUUAUGCCUUUUAUUAAACCUUUUUGUUUCUAACACUGCA